AAUAUCUACCAUAUCACCCUGCAGCUCUCGUCUGGUCGCCCACUGAAGCUAAGCAGGGUGGUCAGUAACUGGAUGGGAGACCCCCUUGGAAAACUAGGUUGCUGCUG
rnacentral:rRNA from 1 species